rnacentral:tRNA from 1 species
AAAUAAUUUGAGCGUUAGUAGAAAAACUUACUAAAUGUUAGUUUUCAGAUUCAGGGAAACUUAGGUUGAUAAAAAUAUAAGCAAUCCUGAGCCAAAUCUUAUUUCGUUUAACAAUAAGAUAGGUGCAGAGACUCAAUGGAAGCUAUCCUAACGAAUAAUAUUUAAAAUAUUAUUUAGUUAAAUAUAAUUUAUUAACUAAUAUAAUAAAAGUAAAAAAAAAUUAUUUAAAUUUUAUUUUUUAGAUAUUAAACGAGGAUAAAGAUAGAGUCCAAUUUUACAUGUUACUUUUAGCAACAAUUUAAAUUGUAGUAAAAAGAAAAUCCGUUGGCUUUAUUGACCGUGAGGGUUCAAGUCCCUCUACCCCCAA